GUUAAUUAUGAUAUGAGUGAAGCAAAAGGCAAACUCUACCUCAGGAUGGAAAAAAGGGAUUUCAACGUUUCAGCAAAGCUAACUUUGAUGGGAAGCAGCUUCACUAAUGCCAUUGAAGUGGCACAGACCAUGGCCCAGUUAAAAAUUCUUCCAAGGCAGCUUGUGUUUAUGACAAUUUACCAAAAAGGUAACAGAACUCGUCUGCUAAGGCACAUUGCCCUGUGGGAUGGCAAAGAGAUAAAGCUAACAGGCACUUACACUGGACCCUUCCCAAAGCUGCCUGGAGGUCAUGGCAUGCAGGUGGAGCUUCUCCAUUCUCUCUCCAACCCUUUUCCACGACAUGUCUGGGUCAACUUGUAUGUGAAACAUUCAGCACACAGUCACCGGGAUGAUCUUACUGUAGUUUGGAAUGAGAAGGACAAGAUAUCAGUGUCAUCUUCUCUGAAGUUUGGAAGACACCGGACAAGCUACAGAGCCACUGUUGCCCACCCAUUUAAUUACACUCUGAAGCAACUGGAGGUGCAUUCCCUGUCAGAAAGAAGGGGCAGAAAGUACAACCAGCAGCUGCAGGUCUCAGGGAAUGCUGGGGAGCCUGCUCACCUCCGGCUGGGCCUGGAGGAUAAAUCCAAGAUGGACAUCACUGCCUGGGGUGGCUGUGUGACACUCUCUGCAGGCCAGCUUCAGAGAAUAUUAAGCAUGGAAAACCUGCAUGUAUGUGGGUCUCUAGAGCAAAGACCAACAUUGUUUAAUGAAUAUCUGGAUUUGAACUGGGAUGACAAAAAAUUCAAACACAAUUUCACGUAUGAGAGAAACCAACUCUUGUAUCCUGACAAAUUUCAAUUAGAAGUGGUUCUGGAAAAUAUUUUCCUGACCCCAUGUACCAAACAGAAGAUUCUGGGUAAAAUAGAAACCAACUACUGCUCUUGCCUGGAUUACUACACAAGCUUUGAGUUCUGUGACCUUCCAAAUGUAAUUGUUUUAUCUGGAAAGCACCAGCUCAACAAAGAUGACAUAAUUUUGCAGUCAGAGGGCAGAUUCCACCUUGCUGAUCACGGAAAAGAUGAGGGGUUGAUUGGAAUAUCCAUAAAGAAUCAGAGCACUGCUGAUGUGAAGAACUACUCUCUGGAAAUUGAAUUAACAGCCUUUGAAGAUAUUUGGCUAGGCCUGACAGGAACUGCUGCUUCCUCAUCUGUCCAGAGCCAAAUCCUGGUGGAGGGGAUUAUUGAUCAGAAAGAGAAAGUAAAAGUCGCUGCUUCAAAAGGAAAGGAGUGUUUUCACUACUACAUGGGGCAUCUGCAAGGGGAUUUGGAAGAAGGAGUGGAACUUAGUGCUUGUUCUGAUGGGCAACAGAUGGCUGCCAUUAACACGUAUCUCAGCAUCAAUGGUAAAAGGCAGGAAAACGUGGGACAAGUGACUCUAGCAGCUGCUAAUGGAAGCUUGAGUUUUCUGGCGCAUGGAUGUGGGGAUCCAGUUCUUAAGGUUGAGAACAAGCUUAAUGAAAUUGGGAGCCUUUUGAAAGCCACACUGAUAGAGAAGAUAAAGAAGUUUGAUGGAUACCUGUGGAGAUUCAGGAGAUCAGUGCAGCAUGUUGGUUUCCUGUCUGAAGCAGCUGGCUGGCCUUCAAUGGCCUUGCAAAAGGCAGCAGGAUUCCUGCACAGUGCGGGUACAGCUGUCACCCAGGUGUGGAAGCAAAGUGGAAUCAGGCACAUUCUGAGAAACAGGAUCCCACUUUACCUGGAGAAAAUUCAAGAUGUUGUCCAGCAAAUGCAGAAUGAAUUACAAAAGCCAUUAGCAACUUUGAAGGACGCCUACUACGAUAUAACCUUGCAGCCACUAGAUGAAGUCUGGAAAGAGAAGACAGAAGAGCUCAUGAAGAAAAUCCAGGCUUUCUUACCCAAGAUUGUAAAAGAUGUGUGGUUAAUGGAACCAAUCCAGGUGGCAUUAAAGGUUGUCAAAGCAGGCUUGGAUAUGGCUACACAGCAGGUGCUCAGAUGGGCAGAUGCCACGUUUUCCAGAGCUGUGAGUAAGAUCCGGAAGCCCUUGCUGAACCUGUACAGUUUUUCACCCAGGAACUGUUCAGUGGCAGGAAAGCUGCCAGUACUGCCUAAAGCAGACUUGUCCCUGCAGCUGGCAAAUGUUACCACUUACCUCAUUGGAGAAAAACUGAUGAGGCCUCUGCAAGACCUCUACAAUCUCAACAUACUUGCAGAAUACUAUAAGUUCAAACGGAGGAUGAUGGAGAGCCCCUUUGAAUAUCAUGCUAUGUUAGUGGGGACCAAGCAUCUUGUGACUUUUGAUGGAAAAAUGUAUGAUUUGGCAUCAAAGUGCAGUGUACUUCUUGCCAAGGAUUUUGUUCACAGUGCUUUCACUGUAAUACUAAAUGAGGAAACUAGGAACUCAAGAUCACUGUAUGUGGAGAUGAACCAGACUGUGAUCACUAUCUACCCACGUCUAAAGAUAUCCAAGAUGUAUAACUUCUCCUCUGUGGAAGAGAACUGCCAAGUCCUGGAUCAAUCCCUUGAAAACAGUACCAUGAAUUCCAGGCGAGGAACCAACAAAAUCGAAGUAUCUGAUCAGAAAGGAGUUUCUGUGUCUUGUGACUUUCAGUAUGAUCUCUGUACUAUCACUCUGGCUGGGUGGCACCAUGGUAUUUCAGCUGGGCUUUUUGGUACCAAUGAUAAUGAAGCUGGAAACGAAUGGAUGGUGCCUAAUGGUUCCUUCACUGACAACGUGCAAGAGUUCACACAGAGCUGGCAGGUGAGUAAGUGCAGUCUCGUACCGAAGAAAGAGAAGCCAUGUCCAAUUACAGCUAAGCAGAACAUCUGUAAAGUGUUCUUUGAAGAACCACAUUCACUUCUUAGGAACUGCUUCAAAGUUGUGGAGCCCGAGCCAUUCUACACCAUGUGUACACAGGACACCUGUGACUCCCCGGCCUUGGGGGCUGCCUGCACUUUAGCAGCAGCUUUUGUUCAUUUGUGCAACCGGAAUUUUGUCCCUGUGGAAGUCCCUCCACAGUGCUCGAGCCAGUUCUGA
ensembl:lncRNA